AAUGUCUUCAGAUGAGAUAUAAGAUUCUUUCUUGGCACCGAUUUCAAAGUCUGGGUAUCCCAUGAUCUCCUUGGGUAAAUUUGUGCUAAUCUCUCACGUAUUGAAGCUAUCGUCAUGAAUCUUUGAAUGCGUCCCUCGUUGAACAUAUGUCGGAGCCGACUGGAUCGGAUUACUAUAUAUUAUAGCUGCUAUAGGAACGAUCGGCGAAGAGGGAUGUACCUGUCUAAAAAUGGACACAACUGCUAUUGAAAUGGACUAAAUCGUAGGUCUUCCCAGGGUUUGUCAAAAAUCUUGAAGCCUUAAAGCUCUUGCAUCGCUAAGUCGGCACUACAGACCAGAGAACUGUUGUUUUGGGAGGUCAAUUUGCAAUUUCUUAUUCUUUAUGAACAUAUAAUUUGUGUUGGCAAUAACUAAUCAAUAAAACUAUUAAUAUGUGAAACUA